UACGUAGGGCGCAAGCGUUGUCCGGAAUUAUUGGGCGUAAAGAGCUCGUAGGCGGUCUGUCGCGUCGGAUGUGAAAGCCCGGGGCUUAACCCCGGGUCUGCAUUCGAUACGGGCAGACUAGAGUGUGGUAGGGGAGAUCGGAAUUCCUGGUGUAGCGGUGAAAUGCGCAGAUAUCGGGAAGAACACCCGUGGCGAAGGCGGCUCUCUGGGACGGUACUGACGCUGAGACGCGAAAGCGUGGGGAGCGAACAGG
rnacentral:rRNA from 1 species